rnacentral:rRNA from 1 species
CAGUCGCCGCGGUAAUACAGAGGGUGCGAGCGUUAAUCGGAUUUACUGGGCGUAAAGCGUGCGUAGGCGGCUUCUUAAGUCGGAUGUGAAAUCCCUGAGCUUAACUUAGGAAUUGCAUUCGAUACUGGGAAGCUAGAGUAUGGGAGAGGAUGGUAGAAUUCCAGGUGUAGCGGUGAAAUGCGAAGAGAUCUGGAGGAAUACCGAUGGCGAAGGCAGCCAUCUGGCCUAAUACUGACGCUGAGGUACGAAAGCAUGGGGAGCAAACAGGAUUAGAUACCCCCGUAGUCCCUGUCUCUUAUAC